AUGGCGCGUUUGCAGAGCUUCGCCGCCCUCGCCGCGGCGGCGGCGGCCGCCGUCCUCGCAGGCCUGCUCUACAGACGCAGGUGCGACCGCUUGAGCGCGCGGGUGCGGGAGCUAGAGGACUCCCUGGCCGACGCCGUGGAGAAGGCCGCCGCAGAGCGCCGCGGCAGGGUUCGGGCUCAGCAGUCACUGCGGAGGGCCCUGAGCGAGCAGGGGACGAGCCCGGAUAAGGGGAAGCCGGCCAAGGCCCCGGCGUCGUACCCGACGGCGCCGAUCGGCACCGUGCAGUCCUGCUUCUCUACUAGGAAUGGUACGCCGAGACAGCCUUUGGUGGUGCCUCUGGCCAGAGCGACAGUGGUGCUUAAUCCUGCCCGUGUUGCGGCCGAAGCGCUAGAGGGACUUGCUAGUUACUCGCAUUGUUGGAUCCUCUAUGUUUUCCAUCUGAACACUGAUCUUGAUAAAAUGUGGAAAGACCCUGCUAGAUCCAAGCUAAAAGUAAAGGUGAGAGUGCCUAGAUUGAAAGGGGGCAAGAUGGGGGUUUUGGUGAAUGGCACACCGAGACAGCCUUUGGUGGUACCUCUGGCCAGAGCGACAGUACUUCUUCACCCUGCCUGUGUCCAAACUGAAGCGCUAGAGGGACUCACUAAUUACUCGCAUUGUUGGAUCCUCUACGUGUUGCAUCUGAACACUGAUCUUAUAAAAUGUGGCAAAGCCCUGCUAGGUCCAAGGGCGAGAGUACCUGGACUGAUGGCAUGA
rnacentral:rRNA from 1 species